CGGAGGGGCUAGCGUUGUUCGGAAUUACUGGGCGUAAAGCGCACGUAGGCGGAUCAGAAAGUACAGAGGUGAAAUACCCAGGGCUCAACCUUGGAACUGCCUUUGUAAACUUCUGAUCUUGAGAUCGAGAGAGGUGAGUGGAAUUCCGAGUGUAGAGGUGAAAUUCGUAGAUAUUCGGAGGAACACCAGUGGCGAAGGCGGCUCACUGGCUCGAUACUGACGCUGAGGUGCGAAAGCGUGGGGGAGCAAACAGGAUU
rnacentral:rRNA from 1 species